GCCUGGGUGGCUCAGUCGGUUGAGUGUCCGACUUCGGCUCAGGUCAUGAUCUCACAGUUCGUGGGUUCGAGCCCCACAUCAGGCU
rnacentral:tRNA from 1 species